rnacentral:rRNA from 1 species
UACGAAGGGGGGCUAGCGUUGCUCGGAAUUACUGGGCGUAAAGCGCACGUAGGCGGCUUUCUAAGUCGGGGGUGAAAUCCUGGAGCUCAACUCCAGAACUGCCUUCGAUACUGGAGCUCGAGUCCGGGAGAGGUGAGUGGAACUGCGAGUGUAGAGGUGAAAUUCGUAGAUAUUCGCAAGAACACCAGUGGCGAAGGCGGCUCACUGGCCCGGUACUGACGCUGAGGUGCGAAAGCGUGGGGGAGCAAACAGGG